UACGUAGGGUGCAAGCGUUAAUCGGAAUUACUGGGCGUAAAGCGUGCGCAGGCGGUGAUGUAAGACAGUUGUGAAAUCCCCGGGCUCAACCUGGGAACUGCAUCUGUGACUGCAUUGCUGGAGUGCGGCAGAGGGGGAUGGAAUUCCGCGUGUAGCAGUGAAAUGCGUAGAUAUCGAGAGGAACACCAGUGGCGAAGGCGAGUCUCUGGACGACUCCUGACACUGAGGCACGAAAGCUGGGGGAGCAAACAGG
rnacentral:rRNA from 1 species